rfam:Larimichthys crocea isolate SSNF unplaced genomic scaffold scaffold23, whole genome shotgun sequence.
ACAAAGGCUCUUUUCAGAGCCACACACCCCGCAUAGAGAGCCAGAU